GUUUAAUGAUGUGAACAUCUCGAGGCUAAAAAUGCUGACGUACCGUUUUGAUUAGAGCAGAGCUGGUGGCUUGCACGUUGUGGCGAGUUUGCGGCGGAGGUCGCUUUCAGUAACAGCAGCCUUAGCAGGUGGGUGAAUGAUGGUCUGUACACUGAUCCGCAGGCCUUGUUGUGAACAAUCAUACAACUUUGUGUCUGGUGGUUGCUCGACCCAAUCGUAAGUACGCCUCUCUCUUUUUCACAUCGGGGCUUGUUAGAUGUAAUUUAACUGUCUUUUUGUUAAGGUAAGCGUGGGGAGUUGAAAAUCUAAUCCUAAAACAAAUCUUUAGCCUAAGAUGCUAUAUGUGACGUUUCUGCUGCUUGCUCACAGGCAUUUGUUUCUGCUGCUUGCUCACGGGCAUUUGUUUUGCGGUUAUGCUUUGCAGCUUGCUUGGGCUGUCCAGUUAUGAGCCUCGUGUUCGCUGUGCUGCAUAUCAGCUCCUGUUUGGGUUGUUUGUUUCCCAUUUGUGCUGUGUCCCUUUUUGUUUUCUUUAAUCGUUGCUAUAGUGUUAAGUUAUCUUGUGGCUAUUGUUUUGUUUUUUUUUUUCUUUUUAGGUUGAGUAAAUUUGUUUUGUGACCACAUAGUGUAAGAGCCGGUUUGUUUAAUUGGUGCAUGUCUCUGCCUCAAACCUGUUAUUUCAGGAGCCAGUGAGGUCUUUGUGAGGAGCAGGAGAGGCUAGCUGUCUUGAUUUAGUGGUGUGCUUCACAAGUGUGUUAAGUGUGCCGACACAACUUUAUAGUGUGUGUGUGGCUGCCAUAUUACUAUGCCCAAACAUUCCAAUGUCCCUAUUGACUUAAUAUAAGUAAUCUAAUUUCUGCAAGUAAACAUUAGUCAUUUAAUCACCAAUUUUAGAUCUGAAAUCUGCAUGUACAUCCCUACAACUCAAACAUCGUACACAUGUACUUUAUUUAUUUAAAAUCUGAAAUUUUCAGUUUCUUGAAAGCCCAAGCGAGUUAUGCGUAUCUAUAUGGAACAGUCAACUGUUAUGUCGAACGGGCCACGACUUGCUCUAAAAUUUAUAAAUGGCAAAUUUACAAACUUAUGUCUCUUUCUUUUUUCAGUGAUUAUAUAAUAUAUUUUUCAUAGAUUUCAAAGAUUCCAUCAGACUAAUGGUGUUCAUAUUACCAGGCUGUGUGGCCAGUGCUAUUUACACUAAGUGCAGGUAAUUAUUUGUUUUUACUGUUAUGUCUUUUUAUAUUGUUGAUAAUUGGUUUAGGCAUAGGGGUUGGAUUAGGUGCUCAUAAAUACAGUAUCUAUAUCCUGGCCCCAUUUCCGUUCACGUGAUUGGAUUUGGACAUCCCUACCACGUAUGUUUUAAUAAUAAUACCAAAUAAAAUAUAUAUAUAUAUA